CAUAAUUUCAUGAAACUUGUCUUAAACUUGUCCUUGUUGCCAUCUUGUUAUUGACAAUGGAGCCUGAGCCUUUAGCAUCCUUUCUUCUAUCCUUUUAGAGAGAGAGAGAGAGAGAGAGAGAGAGAGAGAGAGAGAGCUGUGAUCUCCUCCGGUGAACUUCCGGCAAUCCUCCGGUGAACGUCCGAUGAUGAGUUUGUGGACUCAACCACAUAGAUUUCUUUUCCUGAUUUUGUCAACCUUCCAUGAUCGUUUUAGGGAGUGGUCUUGGACCUCAUUUUUGCACUUAGGCAAUACCAGAUCAUGAGUGAUAGACCGGCGUGGAUCUCAAAAGUUUGUCUGUAGAUGUUGUCUUAUCCUGUUGUAAAUUUU